AUGAUCAGUGAUUGGACUGAUGCUUUCAGUUCUGCUCUCAGUGUUUCCUCUACAGAUGAAGGUAGAAAGUCUCUGGGAGCUGAUGUGGAUGUGAAUUCAGCAGCAGCUGCCAAGCAGGUUGCUGUGUCUGUGUGAAGGUGUGGGCUCUGCUAUGAAUCAGUGUGAGGACAGAGAGGAGGGAGUCCCUCCCUCUAAAAGCACUCUGUGUGAGGAACAUGACACAAGGACCAAAGCUCAGAGGUGAGAUGAGGAUCUCUAACUGUCCAUGACUCUUCUCCAUGUCACAAAGGCUUUGAUUCUCCAUUUGAAACAAAGACAUUUAUCUCAGCAAAAGUAUGUAGUUGUCAGUAUUCAAACAGGGCUGGACUAGGAGCUGAUUGCUCGCUGGUUAGAUGUUGUAUCUGCUCUCACUUUAAUUAUAUGGAAUUCAGACAGUGUGUUGAAGUUUGUGACAUCAGUAAAUUGUGUUCAGUAACACGUCCAUAAUGUCAGUAAUUGAAGACAUUGUUCUUAUUGUCCAGCCCUCUAUUCAAACAUUUCAAGUUAUACAUCAUUUCACAAAGUCUUUGAUUCAGUGAGAAUGGUUCUGAAUAUGUGAGCUUUAAUGAAUUUCUUUCUAUCAGGAUCCAUCAGAGACCAGACUGUCCUGAACCUGAACCCAGCUGUGUGUCCAUGAAGAGUGACCUCUCUAUGGAUCGUUAUAUAGACUUCAAAGAUGGCCGCCACUCUGUUGAUCAAAGGUGAGGAUUUUCGAACUGAUGAUGAAAAUAAAAUUAUGUGUUUUCAUCAGACUCUCAGUUGUGAAAUCUCUUUUAAUGGAUGGUGAUGGUAUGUGUCUGAUCAGCUCAAUUUACAACAGCCUCUUAAAGUGAACAAAUAGUUGCAGCAGUUUAUAGAAACUCACUGUCUGUUCGUCUUUUUAUCCUAAUUAGACCGAUAUGGUCACUCGACAGCAUAAUUUCCCCACCUAUACUGCACACUGCACUGAAUACAACUUUAAUAAAUACACUGAAACAUUUCUAAAUCAAACACUGACUUUAUAGAAAUCCUAACCAAGAACUCCCUGGAUACAAAUACACUGUUUACAGUAGGUGUAUUCAGUCACUGGCAGGUUUUGUCUCAGUGUGUUGUGGGUGCAGUGCAGAAUUUAUCCUGUUUUUCUAUCAGAAGGAAAAAACCUGAACCCAGCUGUGUGUCCAUGAAGAGUGACCGCUCUAAGGGUUGUCCUGUAUUCUUCAAAGAUGGCCGCCACUCUAUUGAUCAAAGGUGAGGAUUUCAAACUGAUGAUGAAACUAAAAGUCUUUUCAUCAGACUCUCAGUUGUGAAAUGGACAGUGAUGGUUUGUGUCUGAUCAGCUCAAUUUACAACAGCCUCAGUUUCAAAGUGAACAAAUAGUUGCAGCAGUUUAUAGAAACUCACUACUCUGACACCAUGUUAAUCAAUUAAAUUCAAUUUUACUUGUAUAGCGCCGAUUCAUAACAAAAGUUAUCUCAGGAAACUUUUGAAAUAGAGCAGGUCUAGACCGUACUCCUUAUGAAACUAUUUACA
ensembl:lncRNA